AAAUAGCCAGAGAUAAUGCGGACUGAUUACGGACUUACCGUACCGGACCGGAGCGGACCAGAGAAAGAAACGGCGCGCGAACUAAUGGUCGUAUCACACUAGCGACUCGCGGUUGAGACUGCGAUACCUUCUCGGCCAAUCAGAAAGCAGUAACUCGCAAAUUCUUUUUGGGAUUGCUCAACUAAUAUUAAACAAGGAUGUAUGAUGCAUUACGCGCAUCAUGCAUGAAACGGAACGCACUUUUGGCCAACCUCGUCCAUUUCCUCGAGUCGAAAUUGCAAUCACAGCCAAUUAUACUGAUCAGAAUACCUUCUUUGGAAUUGUACGAGUGUUUAUAGACGAAAUGAUUUAAGGACUGUAGCGUGGGACGAAAUAACCAAGAAAUUAGACGAAAAUUUUACAGCUAUGAUCGAGGUAUAUAAAUGGACGUAAUAGAUGGCAUUGUCAAGUGCCGCUUUCCAAAGUGAAACUCAAGUGCCAUCCCUGUAUCGUUGGAAUCUGGAGUAUACUGGACAAUACAGGGAGACAGUCGCAACGGGGCUUUAUUAAGCUUAUUAACGGAACAUACAAGGGUGGACGUAUCUACGUCGCGGUGGUCGGGGAAAAUAUAACCGCCGAGAGGGACGUGAGGAUAGAAGGUAAUGGUGGCGGGAAAGCUGUAUUUCAACUCGUUUAAUCGUGGCGCAUUCGAGACCUCUAUUUGUCGUAUCUAACAUCGUAGUGUUUCUCUUUCGCCUUUUCUUUUACCAUUUUUACUGCUUCUGCCGGUUAUCCUUCAAACGACACGGUAGAAUAAAUUAAAAGAGAAGCAUUUCAAAAGUAAUCUUAAUUAAGCGCUGACAUUUCAUAGUGAAAUAGUGUUAUUUCGAACACACAACUGCUAAUUCUCGCAACUAUUCUACCGUAUUCAGUCAAUGUAUGAUAAUUAAUACAUCGACAAAAUAAGCUCUCUGAGCUUUGUAUGAAAGUUUAUUCUAAUAUGCACAAUAAAUCAACGAAUGCUUUUAUCGAGGAGUAAAUACUAAACCUAAACUUUUUUCCAGCACAUUUAUUUUAAAGCAAAUUGCUUUUAAAUUUGGGUUUUCUCUUGCAACUUACCACCCACACUCAU